ACCUCGGAUCAGGUAGGGAUACCCGCUGAACUUAAGCAUAUCAAUAAGCGGAGGAAAAGAAACCAACAGGGAUUACCUCAGUAACGGCGAGUGAAGCGGUAACAGCUCAAAUUUGAAAGCUGGCUCUUUUAGGGUCCGCGUUGUAAUUUGUAGAAGAUGCUUCGGGUGUGGCCCCGGUCUAAGUUCCUUGGAACAGGACGUCAUAGAGGGUGAGAAUCCCGUAUGUGACUGGGUGCUUUCGCUCAUGUGAAGCUCUUUCGACGAGUCGAGUUGUUUGGGAAUGCAGCUCAAAAUGGGUGGUAAAUUUCAUNUAAAGCUAAAUAUUGGCCAGAGACCGAUAGCGCACAAGUAGAGUGAUCGAAAGAUGAAAAGCACUUUGGAAAGAGAGUUAAACAGUACGUGAAAUUGUUGAAAGGGAAGCGCUUGCAACCAGACUUGCGCGCUGAUGAUCAUCCGGGCUUCUGCCCGGUGCACUCGUUUGCGCUCAGGCCAGCAUCGGUUUCGGUGGUGGGAUAAAGGCCUUGGGAAUGUGGCUCCUCUCGGGGAGU
rnacentral:rRNA from 1 species